AGAGUUUGAUCCUGGCUCAGAACAAACGCUGGCGGCGUGCCUAACACAUGCAAGUCGUACGAGAAAGUCCGCUUCGGUGGAUGAGUAAAGUGGCGCACGGGUGAGUAACGCGUGGAUAAUCUACCCUUUAGUCUGGAAUAACUUAUCGAAAGGUGAACUAAUACCGGAUAAUAUCCCGAUUUCUUCGGCGAUCGGGAUCAAAGAAGGCCUCUGCUUGCAAGCUUUCACUGAAGGAUGAGUCCGCGUACCAUUAGCUAGUUGGCAGGGUAAUGGCCUACCAAGGUUAUGAUGGUUAGCUGGUCUGAGAGGAUGAUCAGCCACACUGGAACUGAAACACGGUGCAGACUCCUACGGGAGGCAGCAGUGAGGAAUAUUGCGCAAUGGGGGCAACCCUGACGCAGCAACGCCGCGUGAGUGAGGAAGGUUUUCGGAUUGUAAAGCUCUGUCGAGCGGAAAGAAGUGCAUGGUGGUUAAUAUCCAUCAUGCUUGACGGUACCGCUAAAGGAAGCACCGGCUAACUCCGUGCCAGCAGCCGCGGUAAUACGGGGGGUGCAAGCGUUGUUCGGAAUCAUUGGGCGUAAAGCGCGUGUAGGCGGCUGGACAAGUCAGAUGUGAAAGCCCUGGGCUUAACCCAGGAAGUGCAUUUGAAACUGUUCAGCUAGAGUAAGGGAGAGGAAAGUGGAAUUCCUGGUGUAGAGGUGAAAUUCGUAGAUAUCAGGAGGAACACCGGUGGCGAAGGCGACUUUCUGGCCCUAUACUGACGCUGAGACGCGAAAGCGUGGGUAGCAAACAGGAUUAGAUACCCUGGUAGUCCACGCUGUAAACGAUGUUCACUAGGUGUUGGGGGUAUUGACCCUUCCAGUGGCGCAGCUAACGCAUUAAGUGAAACGCCUGGGGAGUACGGUCGCAGGAUUAAAACUCAAAUGAAUUGACGG
rnacentral:rRNA from 1 species